CGCGUCUGCCGUGAAAGUCCGAGGCUCAACCUCGGAUCUGCGGUGGGUACGGGCAGACUAGAGUGAUGUAGGGGAGACUGGAAUUCCUGGUGUAGCGGUGAAAUACGCAGAUAUCAGGAGGAACACCGAUGGCGAAGGCAGGUCUCUGGGCAUUUACUGACGCUGAGGAGCGAAAGCAUGGGGAGCGAACAGGAUUAGAUACCCUGGUAGUCCAUGCCGUAAACGUU
rnacentral:rRNA from 1 species